UGCCCUCUAGUGCAAUGGUAGCACGACUGACUCUGGAUCAGUUAAUUGUGGUUCGAAUCCACAGGGGGCAGCCA
rnacentral:tRNA from 1 species